AGUACGGCGAGCGAAAGGGAGGAGCCCAGCGCCGAAUCCCCGAKUUUCGGUCGUGGGAAAUGUGGUGUUUAGGAGUGAGCGUGCCGAGUUCGACGGCUGCGGCAAGUCCCCCUGACCGGGGCCUGUCCGUAGCGGGUGCGAGGCCCAUAGCCGCCGCUUUCGUCUCGGAUGCGAUCUCCUUGGAGUCGGGUUGCUUGGGAGUGCAGCCCUAAUCGGGUGGUAAACUCCACCUAAGGCUAAAUACCGCCGUGAGACCGAUAGCAAACAAGUACCGUGAGGGAAAGUUGCAAAGAACUUUGAAGAGAGAGUUCAAGAGUACGUGAAACUGCUCAGAGGUAAACGGGUGGGCCCUCGAAAUCCUGUGGCGAGAGGAUUCAGUCUGGCUCGGUGGACCUGUGGCGGGAAAAGUCGGUAGGGCUUCCCGUGACUGGGGCCGUCCUGUUGCAGGGCUUCCGCCGUUCCAGACGCAUUUGUCUCUCGUCCGAAGGACGCUGCAGCCGGUUUGGAAGUGCAAGCGCGACGGCCUGAAGGUCGGGUAAUGGCAGGUGGCCGGCGGCUCGCCUCGUGUGGGUUGUCGGUUGUUAGCCGUCCCGUCAGUGGCUCGUCUCCAGACCGAGGUGUCGCGAGUCCCGUCAGGGACUCUUCGUCUCCACCCCAGAGUUGCGAGACUGGUCGUGGCAAGGGCUCCGUAUUCCCACCGUCGCACUACUAAGGAGUGGGCGGAGGGCUGCGGGUCCCCGUUGGCUGCGACGGACUCGUUGGGGACUCGAGGCUGGCAGCGAGUAGGUCGGUCACCCACCCGACCCGUCUUGAAACACGGACCAAGGAGUCUAACAUGUGCGCGAGUCAAUGGGUCUUGACUAGGCCCAGGGGCGCAAUGAAAGCGAAGGAUUGCCUAGCGCAGUCUGAGUGGGGAUCCCUCUCUCUCGGGAGGGGGCGCACCCACGACCCGUCCUAUCCGGCUCGCCGGUUGGGCGGAGUCUGAGCGUACACGUUGGGACCCGAAAGAUGGUGAACUAUGCCCGGACAGGACGAGGCCAGAGGAAACUCUGGUGGAGGUCCGCA
rnacentral:rRNA from 1 species